UAGUGCUUACAGCUUCUUUUAAAUUUGUCUAAUAGGUCUUCCAGUUUUUACCAGAAGGACCUAA